rnacentral:rRNA from 1 species
GACGAAUGCUGGCGGCGUGCUUAACACAUGCAAGUCGAACGGGAUUUAGUAGACAGAAGCCUCGGCUAAAGAUUACUAAUGAGAGUGGCGAACGGGUGAGUAACGCGUGAGCAACCUGCCUAUGACAGUGGGAUAGCCUCGGGAAACCGGGAUUAAUACCGCAUAAAAUCGUAGAAACACAUGUUUUAACGGUCAAAGAUUUAUCGGUCAUAGAUGGGCUCGCGUCUGAUUAGCUAGUUGGUGAGAUAACAGCCCACCAAGGCGACGAUCAGUAGCCGGUCUGAGAGGAUGAACGGCCACAUUGGAACUGAGACACGGUCCAAACUCCUACGGGAGGCAGCAGUGGGGAAUAUUGCACAAUGGGGGAAACCCUGAUGCAGCGACGCCGCGUGAACGAAGAAGGUAUUCGUAUCGUAAAGUUCUGUCCUAUGGGAAGAUAAUGACAGUACCAUAGAAGAAAGCUCCGGCUAAAUACGUG